rnacentral:rRNA from 1 species
UACGAAGGGUGCAAGCGUUACUCGGAAUUACUGGGCGUAAAGCGUGCGUAGGUGGUUUGUUAAGUCUGUUGUGAAAGCCCCGGGCUCAACCUGGGAAUGGCAAUGGAUACUGGCAAGCUAGAGUGCGGUAGAGGGUAGUGGAAUUCCCGGUGUAGCGGUGAAAUGCGUAGAGAUCGGGAGGAACACCAGUGGCGAAGGCAGCUCGCUGGGACGGUACUGACGCUGAGGCGCGAAAGCGUGGGGAGCAAACAGG